CGAUGAAAACAAAUCGUAGUAACGCACCGCUCAAUGCACGCAGCGCAUAGUGCCAAGGAAUUAUGUGGUGUUUGGAUGCCGCAAUCACAGUCUUUCAAGUGACAAAAAACACUUAUUUUUUGAGCUGCCGUAGCCCGAGAGGAGAGACAGAUGGCUAACAGCAAUUAGUAAGGAGAACGAAGACGGCUUCCACUGGAGUCCCGCCGGGUCAAGGACCGUUUGUUCUGACCACUUUGUCACAGCCACAGACUAGAACGGCCAUCGAAAGAUUCUCUAUAUCCAUAUUAUCUCCCAUCAAUUUUCUCCCACAGACCCAACAGUCAACACAGAGCAGAACACAGUUUAAAAA